CCCUUUCUUUAGGUUCGCUAUAACCAGAUCUAAAAGGCCCUCUCCCACCCUGAGAAAGUCUGGGUUCAUAGGAGACAGACCUAAAAAUGUGUGAAACCGAUAAAAAUCCUGAUUGGCAGUAAGAUAUCUUGGAUAAUAUAACCGUUUAAACUUUCUAUCUUUUGGUCUUUCACCUAAUUGUAAUACUUUUGGAGCAUGAUCUGAUAUUAAAAUUUAUUUGAUUUUAA